rnacentral:lncRNA from 1 species
CAGAUGUCUGUCCAAAAACUUAUUCGAUGUUUAUCUCCAAUUGAAUAAGACACUCCACACUUCAAAAUAUCCUAAGGCUUCGUUUGGUUCGGGAAUUAGUAGGAACUAGUUAUACCGGGGAUAGGUACAAGUAUGUGUUUUUGUAAGAACACGGGUAUUUUUUUGUUUGGAUGAAAUUGUGAGUAUAAGCUGGAAUUAGAAAAAUUGUGUUUGGAUGGUUAUUGGGAAUAAGAGAAAUAGUUGAUGGUUAUAAAUAGAAAAUAAUGAUAUUACCCCCAUAAUUAAAUUUAAAUUUUUAAAUUUUAAACUUAUAAUUUUAAAUUGAAAAUUUUAACUUUUAAAUUUUAAAAAUUGAAAUUAAAAUUUAAAAUUUAAAUANGUAUAAGCUGGAAUUAGAAAAAUUGUGUUUGGAUGGUUAUUGGGAAUAAGAGAAAUAGUUGAUGGUUAUAAAUAGAAAAUAAUGAUAUUACCCCCAUAAUUAAAUUUAAAUUUUUAAAUUUUAAACUUAUAAUUUUAAAUUGAAAAUUUUAACUUUUAAAUUUUAAAAAUUGAAAUUAAAAUUUAAAAUUUAAAUAUUCAAAUUUUUAAUUUUUAAUUUUAAAUUUGAGAUCAAAUUUAAAUUUGAAAUAUAUAAAAUAACAAAAUUUAAAAAUUAAAAAUUUAUAAGAACAAAUUUAAAUUUUAAACUUUAAAAUUUACAAUUUACAAUUUACAAUUUACAAUUUUAAUUUUAAAAUUACAAAAUUUAAAUUUUAAAUUUUAAAGCAAAACUCUCUCUAGAUCUC